rnacentral:rRNA from 1 species
UACGGGGGGGGGCAAGCGUUGUUCGGAAUUACUGGGCGUAAAGGGCUCGUAGGCGGCCAACUAAGUCAGACGUGAAAUCCCUCGGCUUAACUGGGGAACUGCGUCUGAUACUGAGUGGCUUGAGUGCAGGAGAGGGAUGCGGAAUUCCAGGUGUAGCGGUGAAAUGCGUAGAUAUCUGGAGGAACACCGGUGGCGAAGGCGACUACCUGGCCUGUUCUUGACGCUGAGGCGCGAAAGCUAGGGGAGCAAACGGG